rnacentral:rRNA from 1 species
GAUGAACGCUAGCUACAGGCUUAACACAUGCAAGUCGAGGGGCAGCACAGUGUAGCAAUACACGGGUGGCGACCGGCGCACGGGUGCGUAACGCGUAUCCAACUUUCCCGUUACUCUCGGAUAGCCUUCCGAAAGGGAGAUUAAUACGAGAUGGUGUUCAGUUUCCGCAUGUUUGCUGAACUAAAGAUUCAUCGGUAACGGAUAGGGAUGCGUGACAUUAGAUAGUUGGCGGGGUAACGGCCCACCAAGUCAACGAUGUCUAGGGGUUCUGAGAGGAAGGUCCCCCACACUGGAACUGAGACACGGUCCAGACUCCUACGGGAGGCAGCAGUGAGGAAUAUUGGUCAAUGGUCUAACGACUGAACCAGCCAUGCCGCGUGAAGGUCACGGCCCUAUGGGUCUUAAACUUCUUUUGUAAGGGAGCAAUAAGCUUUACGUGUAGAGUGAUGAGAGUACCUUACGAAUAAGCAUCGGCUAACUCCGUGCCAGCAGCCGCGGU